UUAUUUUCGAAAGGUCAAAUAAUAAUUUUUAUAUCAGUCUGAUAGGCAUGAAGCAAGCAUGCAAUACAAAAAAGACAAGACCCUCGUUAAUGGUGCUUCAUAGGAUUCAAUUUUCCAUUGAAAUUAAAUUAAAAAAAGCAAACACAUGCCAACUGAUUGAUAAGCAAACACAUGCCAACUGAUUGAUAGCUCACAAUCACAAUCCUGCAUGGCAACAGCCCUCCCCAUUAAGAUCAGAGGUCGGGGUGCUUGAUGUUGUAGAUUCCUUCUACAGGCCCCUGGGAAUUGGGACUUCAUUGGACUCGAGAAAUAAA
rnacentral:lncRNA from 1 species